AUGGACAAAUAGUCGAUUGACCAGACGAGUUGACUAUUCUCUUAGAAACAACGAGGCUGAGCUGUUGUCAAAUUUUUUUUACCAUAAACCAAAUAAAACCCCUGAAUUUUUAACUUGGUUUUUAUGUAAAAUGAUAACUUUUUAACGAAAUGAGCGUUUAAAUGCCUUCCUUUGGCGAUAUUUCAACUCGGCCUUGUUUACAACUACUCAGUGUUGCGAAAUGCC